AAAUCCCUAAAUCCCCAAAGCAUAGCCUCUAAAGCACAGCCAUCACAGCCUCUGAAGCACCACCUCCCUCCAUCACCUUAGCCGCCUCAACUCCUCUGUCAUGUCACCGCCUCCGUCGCCUCAACGCUGCCUCAACACCGCCGCCUUCUCCAACUCCAUCGCGGCCUCCUCUUCGCCGCCUCCAACUCCAUCGCCGCCACUAAAUCUCCCUCUCACAUAGUCCCUGCCAUUUCCAGCCCAUCGCCUCCGCCUCCAGAAUCGCUGUUCAGAAUGCGCAUCUCGAGUUUGUAAAAGUUGUGAAGGCGGAACAGCUGGUUGUUGAAGGAAUGUUGUAUUACGUACACUGGAGGCGAAGGAUGGUACAUUGAAGAAAGUUUAUAAGGCAAAGGUUUGGAAGAAGAUAAUGAACCAGCCCAAGGAGCUGCUAGAAUUCAAUCCCAUAAUUGGUGAUGCUCCCGCUGAGCCUUGUGUUGAAAAUGGGGAAUCAGCAAUGAAGAAAUAAUACAUUUGAGACAAAAAAUUCUGUCAUACUUGAGAGAGGAGAACUAUCAGGUCAAUAAGACAACAGGACUCUAAAGGAAGCAACUUCUGUGUUGGACUACAUGCACAGUGUUAUGACUAUAUAUAGUGUUUUUUUGUACAUUUCUGAAUAGUAUAUAUGAUUGUUAAAGUGUUAUUUUUAGUUGAAUAUCUUUUUUGGUAUAAUUUAUUGACAAUUAACACUUAUAUAUAUACUACUUUUGGUGUGUAAAUGUUAAUGGAUAAUGAUUACUUUGGUGUUAUUUGAAUGAUAUGUUUAAUUUUAUGAGUUUUAUUCUAAUUUGAUAUGGAUAAUGAUAUAUAGGUUUGGUGGUUUAUAUCAAAACAUGAUGUUUUUGUCAUUAAUGACUAGCAAUUGUUUUCAUACUAUUAAAAAAAAAAUUAA